AAGAGACAGCAGUAGCCACGGUAAUACAGAGGAUGCAAGCGUUGUCCGGAAUUAUUGGGCGUAAAGCGCGCGCAGGCGGAUCAGUUAGUCUGUCUUAAAAGUUCGGGGCUUAACCCCGUGAUGGGAUGGAAACUGCUGAUCUAGAGUAUCGGAGAGGAAAGUGGAAUUCCUAGUGUAGCGGUGAAAUGCGUAGAUAUUAGGAAGAACACCAGUGGCGAAGGCGACUUUCUGGACGAAAACUGACGCUGAGGCGCGAAAGCCAGGGGAGCGAACGGGAUUAGAUACCCGCGUAGUCCCUGUCUCUUAUACA
rnacentral:rRNA from 1 species